GAUGAACGCUGGCGGCAUGCCUAACACAUGCAAGUCGAACGAAGGCUUCGGCCUUAGUGGCGCACGGGUGCGUAACGCGUGGGAAUCUGCCCUCAGGUUCGGAAUAACAGCGAGAAAUUGCUGCUAAUACCGGAUGAUAUCGCGAGAUCAAAGAUUUAUCGCCUGAGGAUGAGCCCGCGUAGGAUUAGCUAGUUGGUGUGGUAAAGGUGCACCAAGGCGACGAUCCUUAGCUGGUCUGAGAGGAUGAUCAGCCACACUGGGACUGAGACACGGCCCAGACUCCUACGGGAGGCAGCAGUGGGGAAUAUUGGACAAUGGGCGAAAGCCUGAUCCAGCAAUGCCGCGUGAGUGAUGAAGGCCUUAGGGUUGUAAAGCUCUUUUACCCGGGAUGAUAAUGACAGUACCGGGAGAAUAAGCUCCGGCUAACUCCGUGCCAGCCGCCGCGGUAA
rnacentral:rRNA from 1 species